GAGAACUCAGGUAGAAUGUCUAAGUUUCAG
rnacentral:piRNA from 1 species